rnacentral:tRNA from 1 species
GCCGGGGUGGCGGAAUUGGUAGACGCAGCGGACUUAAAAUCCGUUGGGGCGCAAGCCCCGUGGGGGUUCGAGCCCCCCCCUCGGUACCA